rnacentral:tRNA from 1 species
GUCAUAGCUCAGUGCUGAAGCACCUGCUUUGCAUGCAGAAGGUCCCAUGUUCAAUCCCUGGCAUCUCCU